UACAGAGGGGGCGAGCGUUGUUCGGAAUUACUGGGCGUAAAGGGCGCGUAGGCGGCGACUCUAGUCAGAUGUGAAAGUCCUGGGCUUAACCUGGGGACUGCAUUUGAUACUGGGUUGCUUGAAUUCGGGAGAGGAUAGCGGAAUUCCCAGUGUAGAGGUGAAAUUCGUAGAUAUUGGGAAGAACACCGGUGGCGAAGGCGGCUAUCUGGACCGACAUUGACGCUGAGGCGCGAAAGCGUGGGGAGCAAACAGG
rnacentral:rRNA from 1 species